UGGGGAAUAUUGGACAAUGGGCGAAAGCCUGAUCCAGCCAUGCCGCGUGUGUGAAGAAGGUCUUCGGAUUGUAAAGCACUUUAAGUUGGGAGGAAGGGCAGUAAGCGAAUACCUUGCUGUUUUGACGUUACCGACAGAAUAAGCACCGGCUAACUCUGUGCCAGCAGCCGCGGUAAUACAGAGGGUGCAAGCGUUAAUCGGAAUUACUGGGCGUAAAGCGCGCGUAGGUGGUUCGUUAAGUUGAAUGUGAAAGCCCCGGGCUCAACCUGGGAACUGCAUCCAAAACUGGCGAGCUAGAGUAGGGCAGAGGGUGGUGGAAUUUCCUGUGUAGCGGUGAAAUGCGUAGAGAUCUGGAGGAAUACCGAUGGCGAAGGCAGCCAUCUGGCCUAACACUGACGCUGAGGUACGAAAGCAUGGGGAGCAAACAGG
rnacentral:rRNA from 1 species